rnacentral:rRNA from 1 species
GAGUUUGAUCGUGGCUCAGAUUGAACGCUGGCGGCAUGCCUUACACAUGCAAGUCGAACGGCAGCACGGGAGCUUGCUCCUGGUGGCGAGUGGCGAACGGGUGAGUAAUGCAUCGGAACGUAUCCUGGAGUGGGGGAUAACGUAGCGAAAGUUACGCUAAUACCGCAUAUUCUGUGAGCAGGAAAGCGGGGGACCUUCGGGCCUCGCGCUCUUGGAGCGGCCGAUGUCGGAUUAGCUAGUUGGUGAGGUAAAGGCUCACCAAGGCGACGAUCCGUAGCAGGUCUGAGAGGAUGAUCUGCCACACUGGAACUGAGACACGGUCAGACUCCUACGGAGGCAGCAGUGGGGAAUUUGGACAAUGGGGGCAACCCUGAUCCAGCCAUGCCGCGUGAGUGAAGAAGGCCU